rnacentral:rRNA from 1 species
ANUUUAGUGGCGAACGGGUGAGUAACACGUAAGCAACCUGCCUUUAAGACGAGAAUAACAAUUGGAAACAGUUGCUAAGGCUGGAUAGGAAAUAAAAAGGCAUCUUUUUAUUUUUAAAAGACCUUCUUCGGAGGGUAUGCUUAAAGAGGGGCUUGCGUCACAUUAGUUAGUUGGUAGGGUAAUGGCCUACCAAGACGAUGAUGUGUAGCUGGACUGAGAGGUUGAACAGCCACAUUGGGACUGAGACACGGCCCAAACUCCUACGGGAGGCAGCAGUAGGGAAUUUUCGGCAAUGGAGGAAACUCUGACCGAGCAACGCCGCGUGAACGACGAAGUACUUCGGUAUGUAAAGUUCUUUUAUUGAAGAAGAAACAAUAGUGGAAAAACUAUCUUGACGUUAUUCAAUGAAUAAGCCCCGGCUAACUAUGUGCCAGCAGCCGCGGUAAUACAUAGGGGGCGAGCGUUAUCCGGAAUUAUUGGGCGUAAAGGGUGCGUAGGCGGUUUAAUAAGUCUCUAGUUUAAUUUCAACGCUUAACGUUGUCCUGCUAGAGAAACUGUUUGACUAGAGUGAGAUAGAGGUAAGCGGAAUUCCAUGUGUAGCGGUAAAAUGUGUAAAUAUAUGGAGGAACACCAGAGGCGUAGGCGGCUUACUGGGUCUUUACUGACGCUGAUGCACGAAAGCGUGGGGAGCAAACAGGAUUAGAUACCCUGGUAGUCCACGCCGUAAACUAUGAGUACUAAGUGUCGGGGUUAAACUCGGUACUGAAGUUAACACAUUAAGUACUCCGCCUGAGUAGUACGUACGCAAGUAUGAAACUUAAAGGAAUUGACGGGAUCCCGCACAAGCGGUGGAUCAUGUUGUUUAAUUCGAAGAUACACGAAAAACCUUACCAGGUCUUGACAUACUCUGCAAAACUAUAGAAAUAUAGUGGAGGUUAUCAGGGAUACAGGUGGUGCAUGGUUGUCGUCAGCUCGUGUCGUGAGAUGUUAGGUUAAGUUCUAAAACGAGCGCAACCCCUGUCGUUAAUUGCCAGCACGUUAUGGUGGGGACUUUAGCGAGACUGCCAAUGAAAAAUUGGAGGAAGGUGGGGAUUACGUCAAAUCAUCAUGCCCCUUAUGAUCUGGGCUACAAACGUGAUACAAUGGCUAUUACAAAGAGUAGCUUAAACGCGAGUUUUUGGCAAAUCUCAAAAAAAUAGUCUUAGUUCGGAUUGAAGUCUGCAACUCGACUUCAUGAAGUUGGAAUCGCUAGUAAUCGCGAAUCAGCAUGUCGCGGUGAAUACGUUCUCGGGGUUUGUACACACCGCCCGUCAAACCACG